rnacentral:rRNA from 1 species
CGUAUGGACCGAGCGUUGUCCGGAAUCAUUGGGCGUAAAGGGUACGUAGGCGGCCUAGUAAGUUAGAAGUGAAAUAAUAUAGCUCAACUAUAUAAAGCUUUAAAACUGUUAGGCUUGAGAGAUGAAAGGGAAAGUGGAAUUCCUAGUGUAGCGGUGAAAUGCGCAGAUAUUAGGAAGAAUACCGGUGGCGAAGGCGACUUUCUGGUCAUCAUCUGACGCUGAGGUACGAAAGCGUGGGUAGCAAACAGGAUU